rnacentral:lncRNA from 1 species
GAGAAAAGGACAGUUAGUGCCUGGACCAGGACUAUCACACUGGGGACCGGCUUCUCUGCUCUCCCUUUAUAGGGGUCGGGGGAAUGAAGGGGCAAGGGUCUUCCGAAGAAAGCGAGAAAGGAACAGGCGCCUUCAAAAGCCCACUUGGCAUGGGUUACAGUAAGAGGGCCCCUCCCGGUUCAACGGUCUCCUAACCUGUAGUCACCCACAAGAGCGUGCCCUUUCUGCCCGCUCUUCCUAGCAUUGCUCCCUGCUUGGCUGAGCACUGCGGAGUUUCACGCCUCUAAACCCCGCCUCUUCUUGCAACCUGUGUUGGCCUCAUCUACCCAGCAACUGUCGACGUCACACGACCUGGGCCUCCCUGAAUGGGAGAUAUUUACUAGACAAUCCCGCCUACUGUUCUGAGGUUUCCCCUCCACGUGCCGCUUCAGAGCCAGGCGAGCCAGGAAGGACCAGCGGGCGAGGUGUUUCAGAGUGCUGGCCACACCAAAGCAUCAACCCCGGCUCUAAACCCCAUUACACUAAGGAAUUACAAAUCCUGUGUUUGUCCUCCAGGAAGUCUGCAUUAUCACGAGGAGCUUGGAAAGGAGGUAACACACUCAAGGCAAAUUUCAAGUAACUCAUCCUAGAGGCAGCUGCCUACUCUGCAGCUGUGGUUCUCCACCACAGAGAGAAGAAAAGGGAGGGAGAUGGAGUGUGCAGGUCUGAGAAGGCUUUCAUUCUGGAGCAUCUGCAGGAGCCUGCACCAUGGCCCAGUAGCACCCCUUUUUCUCCAUGAGCUGCUGGUGGGUUCCCCCCUCCCGGAUAGCGCCUCCUUCCAGAAAGAGGAUGUGGUCAGCCUGCUCCACCAGGCUGAGGUGCUGGGUGAUGAGAAGCACUGAGCGGGAGUACCGCUCAGGGCUUUGGUACAGGAGCUGCUCCACCUGAGGAAAGAUAUCGGACCGUCAGAGCUGGGGA